rnacentral:rRNA from 1 species
GAUGAACGCUGGCGGCGUGCUUAACACAUGCAAGUCGAACGGUGAAGGAGAGCUUGCUCUCCGGAUCAGUGGCGAACGGGUGAGUAACACGUGAGCAACCUGCCCCGGACUCUGGGAUAACAGUUGGAAACAGCUGCUAAUACCGGAUAUACCCUGCUGGUCGCAUGGCCUGGUGGGGGAAAGCUUUUGCGGUGUGGGAUGGGCCCGCGGCCUAUCAGCUUGUUGGUGAGGUUACGGCUCACCAAGGCGACGACGGGUAGCCGGCCUGAGAGGGUGACCGGCCACACUGGGACUGAGAUACGGCCCAGACUCCUACGGGAGGCAGCAGUGGGGAAUAUUGCACAAUGGGCGCAAGCCUGAUGCAGCGACGCCGCGUGGGGGAUGACGGCCUUCGGGUUGUAAACCUCUUUCAGUGGGGACGAAGCGCAAGUGACGGUACCUACAGAAGAAGGACCGGCCAACUACGUG